rnacentral:rRNA from 1 species
AUUGAACGCUGGCGGCAGGCCUAACACAUGCAAGUCGAACGAGUGGCGGACGGGUGAGUAAUGUCUGGGAAACUGCCUGAUGGAGGGGGAUAACUACUGGAAACGGUAGCUAAUACCGCAUACCAUCGGAUGUGCCCAGAUGGGAUUAGCUAGUAGGUGGGGUAAAGGCUCACCUAGGCGACGAUCCCUAGCUGGUCUGCGAGGAUGACCAGCAAAACUGGAACUGAGAAAGGGUCCAGACGCCUACGUGAGGCAGCAGGGGGGAAUAGUGCACAAUGGGCGAAAGCCUGAGGCAGCCAUGCCGCGUGUAUGAAGAAGGCCUUCGGGUUGUAAAGUACUUUCAGCGGGGAGGCGUUACCCGCAGAAGAAGCACCGGCUAACUCCGGGCCAGCAGCCGCGUAAUUC